rnacentral:rRNA from 1 species
GAUGAACGCUGGCGGCGUGCCUAAUACAUGCAAGUCGAACGGGGAGUAGCAAUACUCUUAGUGGCGAACGGGUGAGUAACGCGUUGGUACCUGCCCCGAAGCGGGGGAUAACGGACCGAAAGGUCCGCUAAUACCCCAUGUGCUCGGUAACGAGUAAAGGUGAACACCACUUUGGGAGGGGCCUGCGUCCCAUCAGCUAGUUGGUAAGGUAACGGCUUACCAAGGCGAUGACGGGUAGGGGACCUGAGAGGGUGGCCCCCCACAAUGGAACUGAAACACGGUCCAUACACCUACGGGUGGCAGCAGUAGGGAAUAUUGGUAAUGGGCGCAAGCCUGAACCAGCAACGCCGCGUGUGCGAUGACGGCCUUCGGGUUGUAAAGCACUUUUGACUGGGACGAGGAAGGACGGUACCGGUCGAAUCAGCCUCGGCUAACUACGUG